rnacentral:rRNA from 1 species
UACGGACGGUGCGAGCGUUAAUCGGAAUUACUGGGCGUAAAGCGCACGUAGGUGGUUUUAUAAGUUGGAUGUGAAAGCCCCGGGCUUAACCUGGGAAUUGCGCUUGAGACUGGGCUGGCUUGAGUGCGGGAGAGGAUGGUGGAAUUCCCAGUGUAGAGGUGAAAUUCGUAGAUAUUGGGAAGAACACCGGUGGCGAAGGCGGCCAUCUGGACCGCAACUGACGCUGAGACGCGAAAGCGUGGGGAGCAAACAGG